rnacentral:misc_RNA from 1 species
CUCGCUCCCCCUUUCUCUUCGUCGUCGUCGAUCCUGAUUGUGCAAUCCGAGGCGGUGUUUUCUGUGGUUAGGCCUUGGUUUGAUACUCUGCCGGUAGAUUUGCAUACAUCAUCUCAAGGUUUUCUUGCACAGGCAACUGGAUGGGCAAUCUUUCUCUUCAUGCUAAUUCAGCUUCUGAAGAAUUUGACUGCAAGCCUUGCUUGUACAGGCCUGGCUGCACGGGUAUAUGCAUUGAGAAGGAAAAUACUUUUAAGGUAAUGCCUCUAGAGGAUGACAUACUUUCUGCGAGUCAGAAUGUUGGCUUGAUGGUGCAAGAACUUGGAGUCGCUCUCAAUCAGAUCUUGCAUACUCAUACGACUUGUGAACCCAUUGACUGUAAUAUCUCUACAAAUGAUGAUACCGUCUUGCCACUAAAGGAGAUGCAGUCUUGUGUGGCAGCAAAUUUGUCAACAGAUACAAUCAAGGAUGAAACUAAUUCAUGUUUGGAAGUGGUGCAGCCCUCAUCUUUAGCUAUGACUGCAAAAG